UACGAAGGGGGCUAGCGUUGCUCGGAAUUACUGGGCGUAAAGCGCACGUAGGCGGCCUGUCGCGUCGGGAGUGAAAGCCCACUGCUUAACGGUGGGUCUGCUUCCGGUACGGGCGGGCUGGAGUAUGGCAGGGGAGACUGGAAUUCCUGGUGUAGCGGUGGAAUGCGCAGAUAUCAGGAGGAACACCGGUGGCGAAGGCGGGUCUCUGGGCCAUUACUGACGCUGAGGAGCGAAAGCGUGGGGAGCGAACAGG
rnacentral:rRNA from 1 species